rnacentral:rRNA from 1 species
UACGGAGGAUGCGAGCGUUAUCCGGAUUUAUCGGGUUUAAAGGGUGCGUAGGCGGGCUUUUAAGUCAGCGGUAAAAAUUCGGGGCUCAACCCCGUCCGGCCGUUGAAACUGGGGGCCUUGAGUGUGCGAGAGGUAUGCGGAAUGCGUGGUGUAGCGGUGAAAUGCAUAGAUAUCACGCAGAACCCCGAUUGCGAAGGCAGCAUACCGGUGCACAACUGACGCUCAGGCACGAAAGCGUGGGUAUCGAACAGG